AUUGAACGCUGGCGGCAUGCCUUACACAUGCAAGUCGAACGGUAACGCGGGGCAACCUGGCGACGAGUGGCGAACGGGUGAGUAACGCAUCGGAACGUGCCCAGUAGUGGGGGAUAGCCCGGCGAAAGCCGGAUUAAUACCGCAUACGACCUACGGGUGAAAGCGGGGGAUCGCAAGACCUCGCGCUAUUGGAGCGGCCGAUGUCAGAUUAGGUUGUUGGUGGGGUAAAGGCCCACCAAGCCUGCGAUCUGUAGCUGGUCUGAGAGGACGACCAGCCACACUGGGACUGAGACACGGCCCAGACUCCUACGGGAGGCAGCAGUGGGGAAUUUUGGACAAUGGGCGCAAGCCUGAUCCAGCCAUGCCGCGUGCGGGAAGAAGGCCUUCGGGUUGUAAACCGCUUUUGUCAGGGAAGAAACGCUCUGGGUUAAUACCCCGGGGUAAUGACGGUACCUGAAGAAUAAGCACCGGCUAACUACGUGCCAGCCGCCGCUGUAAAAC
rnacentral:rRNA from 1 species